rnacentral:rRNA from 1 species
CCUACGGGGCGCAGCAGUGGGGAAUAUUGCACAAUGGGGGAAACCCUGAUGCAGCGACGCCGCGUGAAGGAAGAAGUAUUUCGGUAUGUAAACUUCUAUCAGCAGGGAAGAAAAUGACGGUACCUGACUAAGAAGCCCCGGCUAACUACGUGCCAGCAGCCGCGGUAAUACGUAGGUGGCAAGCGUUAUCCGGAUUUACUGGGUGUAAAGGGCGUGUAGGCGGGAGAGCAAGUCAGACGUGAAAUUCCAGGGCUCAAACCUGGAACUGCGUUUGAAAAU